AUGGAAAUCAGCGAUGAAGAAGGCAGGGAAAAGGAGAAAGAGAGAAAUACGAUAUUUCAAGGAAGCUAUAAAAGUGAGUCGACAACUGGCGCAGAAUCCCUGACACAGCAUUGGAGAUCGGCCCUCAAGCCAUACUGCAUCUGAGUCCCGACAACUCUUGAGGCCCUUGGGUUUGAGUUCAACCGCAGUUGGUGAAAGCCAGAGCAAGAUAAAUAAGUUCUUUUGAAACAUGGGGUCUGCGUGGUCCAGAAAGCUUCUGCUCUGUGUCAGAUGUCAUACUCCCCUCUGGGCUGACCAACAGACUCUCUUUGCACCCUGAUGUGCCCAUAACAUUUAACGGUGCUUUGGCAACCCCAAAUGGAAACUCUUACUUGGCCUCUGCAAUCAGUGUUUGUUUCUUUUCUGGUUGCUUUUGUAUUUCUCUUCCCUCCGUUAUUAUUAAAUGAGUUAUUCAACCCAGAUUCUUUGAAAUCUGUGAGGAUGGAAGCAUGGAAAAUUGAUGGAAAAUGUGCCGUCUUCUCACAGGGAUGCUGGAAGGAGAAAUUGA